UUUGGAUGUGUUGAACUGCAGGUGUCUGUGGGUCUUCAAGUGCAUAAGGCCUGCAAGCAGGUCAAUAUGUAAGACAGAAAGUUAUGGGAGGACUUCCCUGGUGGAUUAGCAGGUUAAGGAUCUGGUCCUAUCAAGGCUGUGGUCGCUGCUGUGGCACAAGUUCAAUCCCUGGCCAGGGAACUUCUGCAUGCCACGGAUGUGGCCAAAAAAUAAAAAAGAAAUUUAUGGGAGAGAUUGGGGUUAGGAAAGCAGAUAUCAUAUUUAUCAGCGUAGAUAACAGUUAAAUUAAAAUCGUGAGAGGAAGAGUUCCCAUCAUGGUGCAAUGGGUUAAGAAUAUGACUGCAGGCAGUUCCUGUCGUGGUUCAGCAGUAAUGAACCUGACUAGGAUCCAUGAGGACUCGGGUUCGAUCCAUGGCUUCACUCAGUUGAUGCUAGUCAGCCUUGUUAACCACUGAGCCACAACAGCAACUCCCCUCCCUCUCUCUCUAACUCUCCCCUCUCCCUCCCUUCCUCAGGACCUCAACAUUCCUGAUAACCAAGCAUCUUUUCAUCAGCUCUCCUCCCUCUCUGGUGAAAGUUUGGUUAAAGGGUCUGCAGCAGCAACAUAGAUGUAACUAGAGAUGAUCGUACUAAGUGAAGAACUCGGAGAAAGACAAAUACCAUAUGGUAUGACCUGUAUGUGGAAUCUAAAAUAGGGCACAAACGAACUCAUCUACAAAACAGAAACAGACUCACAGACAGAGCGAAUUUGUGGUUGUCAAGGGGGAAGGGAGUAGGGGAGGGAUGGACUGGGAGUUUGAGAUUAACAAUAUGUAAACUAUUAUAUACAUAGAUGCAAACUAUUAUAUACAGAAUGGAUAAAAAAGGUCCCACUGUCUAGUACAGGGAACUAUAUUCAAUAUUCUCUGAUAAACCAUAAUGAAAAAUAUGUAUAACUGAAUCACUUUGCUGUACAGCAGAAAUAAACACAUUGUAAAUCAACUAUAAUAAAAUAAAUUUUUAGAAAAAGGAUGUGGGGAGUUCUGUGGUGCAGUAGGUUAAGGAUCUGGUGUUGUUACUACUGUGGCUCAGGUCGCUGUUGUGGCAUGAGUUCGAUCCCUGGCCCUGGGAACUUUUGUAUGUUGUGGGCGCAGCCAAAAACACAAAACCCCUCUGCAGCAGGUGGCUCAGACCUUGGGAUGAGCACAUGGUUACAGCAGUGGGUGCAGGGAGAAGCCGGCCCUUUCCACCCAGAUAGGGAGCUUGGCUGCUUCUGGUUUAUUCCUGCAGAGGGUCCAUGUGGGGACCCUUGACAUUGGCACCUGGAAGGUCUGGAAAGUGGGCAGCCACUUGCAAGGAGGCUUUAGGUUGCCCCCAAUUGGCCCCCUGCAAAACCACUCCAGCUGGUCUUCCGUCUGACAGAAGAGAAAUUCACUUUUCAUUUUCAGUUGAAUGUUUUCAGCCUUCAAAUGGGAGCCUUUUGUUCAUUCUAAUUCGCCUACAUCUGCAUUAAAACAAAAGUUCAUUUUCAGAACAGCAUGGAGGGGGCCUGUGCACAAUUCCAGUUAUUGUAUAGAAAAGCUGUGUGCCUAACUUUUUAUUUUGCGGGAAAGUAAUUUAUCCAAGAUGGUAACGUGGGUGUUUUCUGGAGCUCAUUCUGGUGAUGUCUUGUCUCUCUCUCAAGGAACAAUGGGCACUUAUUUGGAAUUUUUCAGAUUUAGCCACAGUGCUCUGAUUUUUCAUUUCCAAUGGCUCUUAACUAAGUGGGUGACAAAAAUUAAUUUCUUGAAUGUUUUAAAUAGCUGUCAUAGGUGCUGGUUUUACCUACAGCGGAAACAUCCAAAAGUUAAAAAUGUUCGUUAACAUCAUUCAGUCAAGCUAAUGUAAACUGAAAAUCAUUAAAUAUUUUGGUGUAGAUCAUGACACAAAUACUUCCAGUCCUAAACUAACUGCUACGUACAUUAAAAAAAACCAAAAUUUUCUUCCAACAUUGCUGAACUGUAUGUACCCUUAAAAACAAUUAAGAUUGGGGUUCCCACUCUGGCGCAAUGGGAUUGGCGGCAUCUCUGCAGUGCCAGGAGGCAGGUUUGAUCCCCAGCCCAGUACAGAGGGUUAAAGGAUCUGGCAUUGCCACAACUGCUAUGUAGGUUGAAACUGGGGCUUGGAUCUGAUCCCUGAGAACUCCAUAUGCCAUGGAGCGGCCAAAAUAGAAAAAAAGAUUAAGAUGGUAAAUUUUAUGUGUAUUUUUCCACAAUUAAGACCCACUUCUCUUUUAAAUCGUCAAAGUUUGGAAGCAUUAUUCUUUUGAUGAAGAAAGCAGUACUUUCAAGGACUCAUUUCAGUUUGAGAACUGUGGACUUGUUUUCACAUAAUGUCAGUGAUUAUGAAGCCUCAAUUUAAAAUAAACAAAUCCUUCAGACGUGCCCUCUCUAUGUAUAUUUUUUUCUUUUUAGGGCCAUGGCACAUGGAAGUUCCCAGGUCAGGGAUCGAAUCGGAGCUUCAGCUGCCAGCCUACACCACAGUCACAGCAAAGCCAGAUCCUUCACCCACUGAACAAGGCCAGGUAUGGAACACAUAUCCUCACGGAGAUAGUCAGAUUCAUUUUUGAUGCACCACAACAGGAACUUCCUCUAUACAUAUAACUUUGAAUUCAGGCCAACAUUUAAGAAUGUGGAACCCUUCACAAAUUUACAUGUCAUCCUCGUGCAGGGCCCAUGUUAAUCUUUUCUGUUUUGUUCCAAUUUUUAGCAUGUAUGCUGCGGAAGUGAACACCAGAUAUGACUCCAGACAAGAUUCAGGUGUCCAGGGUCUGCUGACUUUUGCUUUCCAGGUCCCCAAAAUGUCACUGCUGGUGUCUCCU
ensembl:lncRNA